GACGAACGCUGGCGGCGUGCUUAACACGUGCAAGUCGAGCGGUAAGGCCCUUUCGGGGGUACACGAGCGGCGAACGGGUGAGUAACACGUGGGUGACCUGCCCUCAGCUCUGGGAUAAGCCUGGGAAACCGGGUCUAAUACUGGAUAUGACUCCAUGACGCAUGUUGUGGGGUGGAAAGCCUUGUGCGGCUGAGGAUGGGCCCGCGGCCUAUCAGCUUGUUGGUGGGGUGAUGGCCUACCAAGGCGACGACGGGUAGCCGGCCUGAGAGGGCGACCGGCCACACUGGGACUGAGACACGGCCCAGACUCCUACGGGAGGCAGCAGGUGGGGAAUCUUGCGCAAUGGGCGAAAGCCUGACGCCGCGACGCCGCGUGAGGGAUGACGGCCU
rnacentral:rRNA from 1 species